AUGACCAUGUCGAGUUGAAACACCAGUUUUUGUCUGGUUACUGAAGUUAAGCAACAUCAAGUCCAGUCAGUACCUAGAUGGGUGACCACUUGGGAAUACCAGGUGCUAUA